rnacentral:rRNA from 1 species
CGCGUAGGUGGCCAAUUAAGUCAAAUGUGAAAUCCCCGAGCUUAACUUGGGAAUUGCAUUCGAUACUGGUUGGCUAGAGUAUGGGAGAGGAUGGUAGAAUUCCAGGUGUAGCGGUGAAAUGCGUAGAGAUCUGGAGGAAUACCGAUUGCGAAGGCAGGUUACUAAGUCAUAACUGACGCUGAGGCACGAAAGUGUGGGGAUCAAACAGGAUUAGAUACCCCAGUA